rnacentral:lncRNA from 1 species
UCCAAUUACCGAGUCAACCACUGAUCCUUUCCAUUUGGAGAAUCGUCUGUCUCCUGCCAAGAUAAAAUUUCAUUCAGCUUAUGGGUACACUGAAGUUAUGCAAUUGAUGAGGUAGUAUUAUUCUGUGAUCUUUAUUGUAGGGUAGUCUUGAAAAUAUUUUACUUAGCCUUUUGAAGAUAUAAGGUUGCCUCGUAAUAACUAAGUUAGAGAGAUGGCCUCAGUAAGAUAUUUUAUUUAUUUAUUUAUUUUUAUUUUGAUUUUGCUUUCUUCCGUUCUCUUCUCGAAACAGUAAGAGAUUGUUUGUCCUGUGCAUGAUCUGUAAGGAGGUAAAAUAUUGGUUGGAUGGUCUGGAAAAGGCAUAGUUAUUAGUUGGAUCUAAUUACUAUCAACAACUAGGUAGUUAGUUUAAAUAAAUACCUUGGACAAGAUGCAUGCGGGCUAUGAAUGAAUCCACUCGACCACGGAAGACUCUUCUUUCUUCUUCCCACCGUUUUUGUUUAUCCUCAUCCAUGGUUUCUGCACUCUCACUUCCUUCACUACCCAUUAACAGGUUCCAUAACCUAUUUGUCUCUGGAUCAAGGUCGACUUUGGGACGUGGUCGUCGUUUUUUGACUGGUUCAAAUGCCUCGUAUGGAACUACAACGCCAUCUCCUGCGUAUGGAACAAGAGCAUUUCCCACUUCCUUACUGAUCUGUAGGUUUUUCAUACCAUCUAUGAUAUCAUCAACUGAAAAUAUAUUUCUCUUAUAUUCUCGUGAGCCUGCAGAGAGAACAGAGAUAAAAUAUUUAGUUUUUGAUGGAGCAAAUUAAAUUAUACAUAGACAGGAGAGAUUGCUGGAAGAUGUGUACAUGAGUCAUUUGUCAAUUCAUAUCCAUAACCCUGUAUAUUUCUGGUCUCCUGAUGUACUACUCUACGUGUACUAGACAUUUUGUUUUCUGGUGUCUUUCUGGUGUACUGUCUCUUUGCGGACACACGAGCAGGUGCAUCUGACAUCUCAUUUCUUCUUAUAACUUUAGGGCCUCCAUGGGAAGUGAACAACAUAUGACAAUUAGCAAUUGCAGUAAGGGAGCUAUUGUAUUGUGCUUCAGCAAAAGGACGAGAUUCUAUGUCUG